rnacentral:lncRNA from 1 species
GAGCAAAAACAAUUUUUUAUCUUAUUAACUUUCUUUAUUUCAGGUAUUUGAUACAGCCAUGGAACACAGACUAAUAUAAUGCCCAAUAAACCAAAAACAUGAUAUCUAAGAACUUACAGAACAAGAAAAGAUGGGGGUGGACUCAGAACUCACUAAACAUUAUUAAAAUGUUUUCCCUUCCCCUUUUCUCAAUUCUUUUGCUUUGUAUGUUUGCUGACCAUAUUUUUCCACAUAGCCACGUAUGCCCACAGAAACUUCAAUUUAUAUCUGUUGGCUGAGCAAACAUGAACACAAGAAUUUCCUUCCUUGUAGUCAUACCAGGAAAUCUUAAAAGCACUCCCUGAGGAAUCACAGGGAAAAUUUGAGUUUGCUAGGUUACUCGUGUCGAUUCUUGAGUCCAAGGAGAAGGUAUUUUAUCCACCAGAGUCAUGUGGAGUGAGAAGGGGUUAAUCACUCUCCUCUAACAAUUGUAGGGGUUAACUUUAUUAAUUCA